rnacentral:rRNA from 1 species
AAUGAACGCUGGCGGCAGGCCUAACACAUGCAAGUCGAGCGAGCGGCGGACGGGUGAGUAAUGCCUGGGAAACCGCCUGAUGGAGGGGGAUAACUACCGGAAAAGGUAGCCAAUACCGCAUACCAUCAGCAGUGACCCGAUGGGAUUAGCUAGUAGGUGGGGUAACGGCCCACCGAGGCGACGAUCCCUAUCUGGUCUGGGGGGAUGACCAGCCACACUGGAACUGAGACACGGUCCAGACUCCUACGAGAGGCAGCAGUAGGGCAUAUUGCGCAAUGGGCGCAAGGCUGAUGCAGCAAUGCCGCGUGGGUGAUGAAGGCCUUCGGAUUGUAAAGCACUUUCAGCAGGGGAGCGUUACCCACAGAGGAAGCACCGGCUAACUCCGUGCCAGCAGCCGCGGUAAUUC